rnacentral:rRNA from 1 species
UAGGGAAUCUUCCACAAUGGGCGAAAGCCUGAUGGAGCAACGCCGCGUGUGUGAUGAAGGGUUUUCGGCUCGUAAAACACUGUUGUAAGAGAAGAAUGACAUUGAGAGUAACUGUUCAAUGUGUGACGGUAUCUUACCAGAAAGGAACGGCUAAAUCGUGCAAG